rnacentral:rRNA from 1 species
CCCUUAGAUGUUCUGGGCCGCACGCGCGCUACACUGUUCGACGCAGCGAGUCUUAACCUUGACCGAAAGGUUUGGGUAAUCUUCAGCAAAGUCGAACGUGAUGGGGAUCGAUCAUUGCAAUUAUUGAUCGUGAACGAGGAAUUCCUAGUAAGUGCAAGUCAUCAGCUUGCGUUGAUUACGUCCCUGCCCUUUGUACACACCGCCCGUCGCUACUACUGAUUGGAUGUUUAAGCGAGGUUCUCGAACUGCUAGCGACUUAGCUUCGGUGAGGUCGCAGUGUGGGAAGUGAACCUAGCUUUGGUGUCUAGAGGAAGUAAAAGUCGUAACA